UAUGUUAUGCACUCACAGUUUCACCUUGCAAAAGGAAAAAUCACCUGUAAUAUAUAUUACAUGAAAGUUUAAUAGUAAGUUAGCUAGCUAAACAAUACUAGGACUUAGUACGGGUUCGGAUCAUUAUCUAAGUGAGUCCAUUAGUCUAACUGAUACCGUUAAAAUCACAUGAAAACAAUUUCCAUUGACGGGCUAAGCUAAACUACAAAAUACAAUAACGGAGCUUCGGUACACCAACAGCUUGUGUAUUGAGGCGAUCUUCGAUCAUGAGAAUACUAAGAUGGCAUGGCCUUAAAACUAAUGGCAAACCGAUAAUAUAAGAAUCUCAUGAUGCCGAAUUAUUUUACUAUCAGUAAUUAGCCUCUGCUUUCAAUUGAGAUCUCAACUUCAGAUCUUUCAGUGAUGAACUCUUAGCAAAAAUUCAAUUACUUCCUAAAAUAAAAAAGUAUCAUAAAUGCAGAGACCAAAAAACUUGUAUGACGUGAGUUUCGGAUUACAGAUGUAGCAUACAUCAUACAUGUGACAAUGGACCACCAAUACAUUUGUAUCCACAUUUGCAAUGUGUCCAUGUGCCACCUUACAUUUUUUGUGCCCAGUACAGAAGGUCGGAAUCCAAGCGACACCAAAAAAAUAAGUCCAUAGCAUCAAAAGCCUAAAUAAAAGAAAUGGUGUUGGGGGCAAAGCUGCUACCGGAACUCCCAAGAUAUCUGCUACUAACCAAAGCACUCGCAGAAAUGUGAGGCGACAAUCAACACCAAUGAUAGGUACCUGCAAAAAAAUUUGGUGGUACACAAAGAAUACUCAAUGAGGUGAAUCUGAAGCAAUGAAAAAGAAAAACUAAAAAUCCAAGAAGGGAGGAAGAUCAUGAUGUCGUCGGGGAUGGAGGAAGAUCGAGAUCGAAGAGGCACAGAUCGGAUGAAGACGAGAUUGGGGAAUCGGAGGCCGGCAGCACAUGGGUAGCAAGCAGGGGCGGGUCGAGCGGUGGCGGGGCGUGGUGGGAGGAGCCUCACUUAGGCCUUAUUUGGUUUCUCAAAAUCUAAAGGGGUUUGGAAGGGAUUGAGAUGGAUUAAAUCCCCUACAAGUCAAAAUUCACCUUAAUCCACUCCAAUCCACUUCAAUCCCCUUGUGGGAGUGAUUAACCAAACAAGCUCUUACCGGGCUCGACGGGGAGCAUGUUCCCUAGAGUGGACGGAGUUCGGGGGUCGGGGUGGCGAGGGGUCCAGCGGUGGUGGGGCGACGAGGGGGCGGCAAGGAGGCCGGAGGUUGCAGAAGGGUGGCGAGGCGAGGGUGUCGGAGGGAGGCCGGGGUGGUGGGGCGCAGGGAGGGGGGAGCCGCGGGCCGGAAGGGGCCACACGGGAUGGUGCUGCGGGCAGCGCGGGGUGGGG
rnacentral:lncRNA from 1 species